rnacentral:rRNA from 1 species
AUUGAACGCUGGCGGCAGGCCUAACACAUGCAAGUCGAACGAGUGGCGGACGGGUGAGUAAUGUCUGGGAAACUGCCUGAUGGAGGGGGAUAACUACUGGAAACGGUAGCUAAUACCGCAUACCAUCGGAUGUGCCCAGAUGGGAUUAGCUAGUCGGUGGGGUAACGGCUCACCUAGGCUACGAACACUAGCUGGUCUGAGAGGAUGACCAGCCACACUGGAACUUGGACACGGUCCAGACUCCUACGGAAGGCAGCAGUGGGGAAUAUUGCACCAGGGGCGCAAGCCUGAUGCAGCAAUGCCGCGUGUAUGAAGAGGGCCUGCGGGUUGUAAAGUUCUUUCGGCGGGGAGGCGUUACCCGCAGAAGAAGCACCGGCUAACUCCGUGCCAGCAGCCGCGGUAAUUC